UCAACAGAAAGCAACAUAUCAGGGCAUAAAUUCUAUGAUUGACUCAUCAAUAGAAAGCAAUAUAUCGGGGCAUAAAUUCUGUAAUUGAUACAUUAAAUUCUGUGAUUGACUCAUCAAUAGAAAUCAACAUAUCAGGGGCAUAAAUUUUGUAAUUGACUCAUUAAUCUAAGUUGUAAAUAAGAGAAGAAAUUUAGCUUACUAUAUGUAAGUUACCAGAUAUAGCUCCCUAAAAUCACUCUAUGUAAUUAGCAUGUGUAGUUUAAGUUUCCUUGUAUACUGGUUAAUUUUGCCUAUAUAAAUGAAAGACCUUCUCAGAAGAGAAAACAAUUUGAACCAUUUUGAUAUGGUAUCAGAGCUAUAGUCUAAGAAAUAUAUUUUUUUCAGUCAUAGCCUCAAGAAUUAUGGAGAAGUUAGAUAAUGUUUGUGUCAGAUUCACUGGCAAAAAAUAUGCUGCCUGGGAGUUUCAACUAGAAACAUUUCUCAAAGGAAAACAGCUCUGGGAUCAUAUAGAUGGGAGCAACGAUGGAGGUUCUACUGCUGCUGACAAGGCAGCUUGGGCUGCCAAAGAUAACCAGAUCAUGUCGUGGAUUCUUAGUUCUAUGGAACCACAUCUGAUUCUUGCUUUGCGUCCCCAUAGGUCUGCAAAGUCUAUGUGGGAUUAUCUCAAGCAAGUCUAUAACCAAAACAACAAUGAUAGGCGUUUCCAGCUUGAGUUGGCUAUUGCUAACUAUACCCAAGGAGACCUAUCUAUUCAAGAUUAUUACUCUGGUUUCCUGACUUUGUGGAAUGAUUAUUCAGACCUUGUUACGGCCAAGGUCUCUGCAGAAGGGUUGGAGGCAGGAAUGGAGGCAGUACAACACAUAUACAAAACCAGCCAAAGAGACCAAUUUCUGAUGAAAUUAAGGUCUGAUUUUGAAUCUAUUCGUGCCUCUCUAGUAAAUAGAGAUCCUGUUCCAACUUUGGAGGUAUGUUUUGGAGAAUUCUUGUGUGAGGAACAACGUCUCAAUACUCAAAAUAUUAUGGAGCAGGCACGUGUUUCUUCUAAUCUUGUCUCAGCUGCUUAUGUUGCUCAUAGUAAGGGAAAGGGACGUGAUAUGAGCACCACACAGUGCUAUAGUUGUAAGAAGUAUGGCCAUAUUGCUCCUCACUGCCCUCAGAAAGUGUGUAACUACUGCAAGCAAUCAGGGCAUAUUAUUAAAGAGUAUCCUGUUCGUCCUUCACGUUCCAAUAAGGCUUAUCAUGUUGCUGUUACUUCUACUGGUUCACAACCAGCCUUUACUACUGUGGAUGCUGCAACGUCUGCUGUUAGUUUACAGCGUCCAGAACCUGUUAUAACUCGAGAGGCGGUGCAUGAAAUGAUUGUGAGUGCUUCUUCAGCAUUUGGUCUUCAAGGUAAUGGUUCUUCCUCUACUUCUUGGAUCUUAGACUCAGGUGCCUCAAAUCAUAUGACUAAUACUCUUCAUAGAUUAAGUAAUAUCAGAAAGUAUGUUGGCUCAUCACAUAUUCAAACAGCCAAUGGUAGUGCUCUGCCCAUUGAGGCAGUUGGUGAUGUAUCAUCUAACUUUAAUGAUGUUCUGAUGUCGCCAAAUCUCUCUGUGAAUUUGAUAUCUAUCAGCCAACUUGUGGACCAAAACUAUAAUGUACAUUUUACUAAUGAUGGUUGUAUUGUACAGGAUUAAAUGUCAGGGCAGGUGAUAGCGAAUGGGCCUAAGCACGGACGUCUCUUUUCUCUACAAUUACUUAUUCCACAUAGCUUAUCUUCCUCAGUCCUAUCUUUACUUUGUAAUAAGUCUAAAGUGUCAAAUGAAGUCUGGCAUAAGCGUCUUGGCCAUCCUAAUUCUAGGAUUCCAUCUUGUUUAUUGAAAUCUGAUCCGUUAUCUAAUAAGGAGCAUUCUUCUUCCACUAUUUUUCUUGUGUGUACAACUUGUAAACUGGGCAAAAGUAAGAUUUUACCUUUUCCUUUUGAAGAAGUAGAGCAACUUACGCAUUUGAAAUAAUUCAUAAUGAUGUUUGGGGUAUUAGUCCUAUCAUUUCUCAUGGUCAAUACAAAUAUUUUGUGACGUUUAUCGAUGACUACAGCAGAUAUACGUGGGUUUACUUUUUGCGGCACAAAUCAGAAGUUUGUUCUAUGUUCAAACUAUUCUUAGCUCUUGUUAACACCCAAUUUUCAGCCACUAUUAAAACUCUUCGAUCUGACACGGGUGGGGAAUAUAUGUGUCAUGAGUUCCAAUCUUUCUUGCAAUCUAAAGGUAUUAUCUCUCAACGCUUUUGUCCAUACACUCCACAACAAAAUGGACUUGCCGAAAGAAAAAAUCGCAAUCUUUUAGAUGUUGUAAGGACCUUGCUCUUUGAGUCUUCUGUUCCUCCAAAGUUUUGGGUAGAAGCACUUGCUACAGCAACUUUUCUUAUCAAUAGACUCCCUUCCCAAGUUCUAAAUUUUCAGCCUCCAUAUUUCAAACUUCAUCAUCGCAAUCCUACCUACUCAAAUCUACACACUUUUGGGUGUGUAUAUUUUAUGCAUCUUCCUCCACUAGACAGGAACAAGCUUUCUGCUCAGUUCGUACGUUGUGCGUUCUUAGGAUAUAGUGUCACACAAAAAGGGUAUUUAUGCUAUGAUCCAAACUCUAAUCGGGUUCGUGUUUCACGAAAUGUGCUCUUUUGUGAAAAUCAAUGGUUCUUUCCUAUGUCUUCAUCACAGAAUCCUUCUCUUUCUCUCUUACCUUCUUUUGAUGACACCUCUAGUACUCCUAAUAAUCAAGUUCGAAAGGUAUAAGCCAGGUAUGGUCUAUGAGCGAAGACUUCAAGUGCUGCCCCCUUCUGCUCCUACCUUACCAUCUGCUCCUUUGCGCUUCUCCUCUAGAGUGUUUGAUCCUCCUGACCGUUAUGGAUUUGAGUCACUUAUGGUAUGUACCUGCAAUUGUGCACUCUCGGCCACUAUAUCCUCUAUUGUUAUUCCUACCAGUUACUCACAGGCAGUUAAAGAAAAAUGUUGGCAGCAGGCCAUGAAUGAGGAACUAAGUGCUCUUGAAGCUAAUAAGACUUGGGAAUUGGUAGAUUGUCCAGCAGGCGUGACUCCUCUUGGUUGUAAGUGGGUCUAUUCUAUUAAGGUUAAAUCUGAUGGUAGUUUGGACAGAUAUAAGGCCCGCUUAGUAGGUCUUGGAAAUAAUCAAGAAUAUGGUGUGAAUUACGAUGAGACUUUUGCUCCGGUGGCUAAAACGACCACCAUCCACACUAUAUUGGCUAUUGCUGUUUCUCAAAAUUGGGGUUUACAUCAAAUGGAUGUGAAGAAUGCAUUUCUUCAUGGAGAUCUCAAGGAAGAUGUUUAUAUGCGUCCUCCAGCCGGUUUACUUUCCGCUCCUACUUCUGUUGUGUGCAAGUUACGUCGAUCUUUGUACGGUCUUAAGCAGGCCCCCUAUGCUUGGUAUGAGAAAUUUGUCACUACUCUACUCAAAUUUACUUUUCUCAAAAGCAAGUAUGAUGCAUCUUUAUUUCUUCGCAAAACUAAGUCUGGUAUUGUGGUUAUCUUAGUGUAUGUGGACGAUAUAAUUAUCACGGGUACAGAUUCAGUUCUGAUUUCCCAAUUAAAACAGCAUUUAAAGGACUCAUUUUACAUGAAGGAUCUUGGCUCUCUCACAUAUUUUCUUGGUCUAGAAAUUAUUGCUGAUUCACGUGGUACUUUUCUGUCACAACAUAAGUAUGCCAAAGACUUGGUGGCUGCUGCUAGUCUCCAGGACUCUACACCUCUUGAAACUCCCAUGGAAAUUAAUCUCAAGCUACGCAAAGAUGAGGGUGACCUGUUAUUAGACCCCACAACUUAUCGCACUCUUGUUGGCAGCUUGGUAUAUCUGACAAUCACUAGGCCCGAUAUCUCUUAUGCAGUCCAGCAGGUUAGUCAGUACAUGGCUUCUCCUCGACAUCUCCAUAUGGCCGCAGUUCGAAGAAUCAUCAAUAUGUUUAAGGUACAUCCUUGCGGGGACUCUUUUACCCUGUAGGUACCUCACUUGAUCUUGCCGGAUAUAGUGAUGCUGACUAUGCCGGAUGUAGUGAUACUCGACGUUCUACCACUGGCUGGUGUAUGUUUCUUGGCCCUUCUCUUAUUUCCUGGAAAAGCAAGAAACAAGACCGUGUCUCCAAGUCCUCUACUGAGUCCGAAUAUCGGGCUAUGUCACAAGCUUGUGCUAAGAUACAUUGGCUCCGUGGUCUACUAGAUGAGCUUGGAUUUCCUCCAUGUGGUCCUACUCUUCUUAAUGUGGAUAAUACUAGUGCCAUCCACAUUUCAGCCAAUCCUAUCUUUCAUGAACGCACUAAACAUAUCGAGGUGGAUUGCCACUUCAUCCGGGAGGCGUUUGAGGCUCAGAUAAUUGCUCUCCCCCAUGUGUUAAGCAAUCUUCAAGUGUCAGAAAUUUUCACUAAGUCUCUUACGUGGCAACGACAUAAUUUUCUUACAAACAAAUUGAUGCUGAUUGAUAAACCUGCAUCAAUUUGAGGGGGGAUGUCAACAGAAAGCAGCAUAUCAGGGCAUAAAUUCUAUAAUUGACACAUUAAAUUUUGUGAUUGACUCAUCAAUAGAAAGCAACAUAUCAGGGGCAUAAAUUCUGUAAUUGACUCAUUAAUCUAAGGUGUAAAUAGGAGAAGAGAUUUAGCUUACCAUAUGUAAGUUACCAGAUAUAGCUCCCUAAAAUCACUCUAUGUAAUUAGCAUGUAUAGUUUAAGUUUCCUUGUAUACUGGUUAAUUUUGCCUAUAUAAAUGAAAGACCUUCUCAGAAGAGAAGACAAUUCGAACCAUUUUGAUACAUAGUACUGUGGGAGUCGAAAAAAUUGGUGAUUCAGCCGAUAUUUAGUGCCUGACAAUCAUUAUGGUAGAAAAAAAAGUUUUAAAUAUCGAUUUUUAGGAUAAUGUGUAGUUAAAAGUAGAGAAAAGUUUUUGGUAUAUGUGUAAAAUAUUUUAUUGUGUGAAUGUGUAGCAAACCAAAAAAUAAAUUAAUGGAUGUCAAACAGGUACUUAAGGAGAA
rnacentral:lncRNA from 1 species